UGGUCGCGUGGCUGGAGGCUGGCGUAAAGCCGAAGUCCGAAUUCCGCAUCGGUACCGAACACGAGAAGACGCCGUUCACGCUGGAGGGCCACAGGCCCGUGCCUUAUGAAGGCACGCGCGGCAUCGGCGCUCUGCUGGAGGGAAUGCAACUCCUGCUCGGCUGGGAGCCGAUCACGGAGAACGGGAAAAUCAUCGGGCUGCAUG
rnacentral:misc_RNA from 1 species